GCGGCCCGUGCGAGUGCGCCCUUCUCGGGUCCCCUAGGUCGCGGGGCAGCCGGGGCGGAAGGGGCUUGUUCAUUAUUUUGAGAGUUUGUUGUGAACGUCAUAACCUUUCGUCCUUAAAUAUUGCCGAUACUUGACCUACGCAAGAGACAAUGUCAUGUGAUUCAGCCUAAUAUCUCAGUAUUUUGUAGCAGCAAUGGUGUGCCCGUGCAGGAGGGGACCCCUUAACUACAGUACUUGACAUGACCUGGGUAAAGGGCAUAUUCAGCAGGAGGAUGCAGCAUUCAAGGUUCUAUCUUGGAAGCAGAGACUGUGCCCUCACCAGAUGCUGAACCUGCUGAGCACCCUGAUCUUCCACUUCACCUUCAUCAGAACUGGUGCUAAGAAUUCUGAAUUUAUUGAGGAAAUAAAUGUCUGAUUGCAACAAAAGAAAACUUGUCUGGCUUUGGGAAGGAAGAGGCUUAGGAAAAAAAUUAAAGGCGUCUUUACUAGAAGUUCAAGACUGGGGCUGUGGCUGAGAUGUCACAUGGCAGAUAGGAUCACAAAUUUCUGUUGUAUCUGGAUGGAGAUCAGCAGGAGGAUCUAUGGGUGAGAAGAAGCACAGUUACAGAUGGAUUCUAGAGCCUGCUUGCUGACACAGGCUUGCAACUGCGGACUUUAUAAGCUUAGUUUUUAAUCUGCUAUCAGCUAGCAUAAUACCAUAAAUGCAUAAGAAACUAAGUAUUCAGUCUUACGAGAAAUGCUAUCUUGACCUGACCCUUUCUCCAAAUAAAUUGACAAAAUAUCUCAUCGUCUAGGAUGCCAGACAGAAAUACCAGUUGCAAUGUUUUGUUGCAUAAAGUUUAUCCUAAUUUAAAUUAGUGGCAUAUAAAGUCAUCAUCUUGCUUGAACAAACAUCUUAUUAAAUUGAGCAUGUCUUUUAUCCCAUGAAAUGAAAUUAAUUUUGAGAUAGUUAUUUUUCAGUUGGAAAUUUAUUGAGUUGAUAGAAAACAAGUUAUAUAGUCUUCCAAAGAAUAUGUUACAUCCAUUUGCAUUUUGUUUUUCUUCAGCAAUGUUUGGUUUUUAGAAAAUCUUACAAGUUAAAUAUACUAAUGUAGAAAUUGAAAGAAAAUAAUCAGAGAUAGAGCAAUAAAUUUGCAAAUAAAGAUUAUUCUUAAAACAAA
ensembl:lncRNA LINC00882 long intergenic non-protein coding RNA 882